CAGCCUCAUCUGCCAAAUCCUCCGUUCUCUUUUUUCUUCUUUCCCUCUUUCCUCUUACACGCUGAACCGAGAAAGAAAGAAAACAGAGAAAUGGAAAUGGCGGUUAGCUUCCGUAACUCUUUUCUCAAAGCUCCUUCGAUUAACCCUAACCCUAAACUUCCAUUGCCGAAGCAACUUUUCGGUCUCAACUUGUCUUCGCUUUCCUCUUUCAACUCCAAAACAACAUGCCUCAAAUUUUGUUCUAGGAAUUUGACCAAGCCAGUCAAAUGCUCUGUUUCUCAGGCAACUCAACCUGCAACCGAGAAGAAGAGUCAGUUAAUGAGGAGAAGAGAUAUAAGGAACAUAGCAAUCGUAGCGCAUGUUGAUCAUGGGAAGACUACUUUGGUUGAUGCAAUGUUGAAGCAAUCUAAGGUUUUUCGUGAUAACCAAUUUGUACAAGAGAGGGUAAUGGACUCAAAUGAUCUUGAACGUGAAAGGGGUAUUACAAUUCUGAGCAAAAAUACAUCUAUCACUUACAAGGAUACAAAAAUUAAUAUAAUAGAUACUCCGGGGCACUCUGACUUUGGAGGUGAAGUUGAACGCAUCCUCAAUAUGGUCGAAGGGGUUCUUCUAGUGGUGGAUUCUGUUGAGGGUCCAAUGCCGCAAACAAGGUUUGUUUUGAAGAAGGCUCUAGAGUUUGGCCUUGCCGUUGUUGUUGUCGUCAAUAAAAUUGACAGACCGUCUGCUCGUCCAGAUUUUGUUAUCAAUUCCACAUUUGAACUAUUUAUCGAACUAAAUGCUACAGAUGAGCAGUGUGAUUUUCAAGCAAUAUAUGCCAGUGGUAUAAAAGGAAAGGCAGGACUAUCUCCUGACAAUUUGGCAGAAGAUCUCGGGCCUCUCUUUGAGUCUAUAAUCAGAUGCAUUCCUGGUCCACAUAUUGACAAAGAUGGUACACUACAAAUGCUUGCAACAAAUAUUGAAUAUGAUGAACAUAAAGGGCGGAUAGCUAUUGGGCGCUUGCAUGCUGGGGUCCUUCAGAAAGGACUGGAAGUAAGGGUAUGCACCUCAGAAGAUUCAUGUAGAUAUGCAAGAGUUUCUGAACUUUUUGUCUAUGAGAAAUUCAGUAGGAUCCCUGCUGAGAGAGUAGAAGCUGGUGAUAUUUGUGCUGUUUGUGGAAUUGAAGAUAUUCAGAUUGGAGAGACCAUUGCUGAUAAAACAUCUGGAAAGCCAUUACCUGCCAUUAAGGUGGAAGAACCAACUGUGAAAAUGGCUUUUUCUAUUAACACUUCACCAUUUGUUGGCCGUGAGGGAAAGUACGUUACUAGCAGGAACCUACGAGAUCGACUUUACCGUGAGCUUGAGCGAAAUUUAGCUAUGAGAGUUGAAGAUGGUGAAACUGCAGAUACAUUUAUUGUUAGUGGGCGUGGCACUCUACAUAUUACCAUACUGAUAGAAAACAUGCGGAGAGAAGGGUAUGAAUUUAUGGUGGGACCUCCCAAAGUUAUUAACAAGAAGGUUGACGACAAGUUGCUUGAACCAUACGAGACCGCAGCAGUGGAAGUACCUCAAGAACACAUGGGGGCUGUGGUUGAACUUCUUGGAAAAAGGCGUGGACAGAUGAUAGAUAUGCGAGAAGUUGGGUCUGAAGGUACAACAUUUUUGAAAUAUAAGAUCCCAACACGUGGCCUUCUUGGAUUGCGGAAUGCAAUCUUGACAGCUUCUCGUGGAACAGCUAUAUUGAACACCAUAUUUGAUAGUUAUGGACCUUGGGCUGGUGAAAUUAUUACCCGGGAUCAGGGUUCAUUGGUUGCCUUUGAGGAUGGAAGCAGUACUUCUUAUGCACUUGCCAGUUCACAGGAGAGGGGACAGAUGUUUAUUGGUCCUGGGAUGGAAGUUUAUAAAGGUCAAAUAGUUGGCAUCCAUCAGAGACCCGGGGACUUAUCCCUUAACGUUUGCAAGAAAAAGGCUGCAACAAAUAUACGCUCCAACAAAGAACAAACAGUGGUUCUUGAUACUCCAUUGGAUUAUAGUCUGGAUGACUGCAUUGAGUAUAUCCAAGAAGAUGAACUGGUGGAGGUAACUCCCUCAAGUAUUAGAAUGUGCAAAAAUCCAAAAUUUGCCGCCGCAAAGACGAGUCGGUAAAUCCAGCCUUAUCAGACAUUCUGGGUCCACAAACCAAGCUUCCCGACCAUGUGAAUCUAUACGAUCAAGCUGCUUAAUUCUGCAGUUCAAUUCACCAUAUUGCCAAAUUUUACACCAUUUUUGUGCUCUCUGUCUCUUUUGAGCAUAUGAAGCCCCCUUCUUCAGGCAAUUCUAGAAAAUAAAAUUGAAUGGCAAAGCUAUUUCAAGUUUUUCGUUUCUUUGAUAUAGCAGCUGUAUAUAAUGAUAUGGGAUGAAGUUAUUCAAGCAUAUUAUUGUUAAAUUGUACUGCUAAGAAUGGACGUAGGAAAAUUUUUGGUCUGAUUGUAAGACACAAAUGAGCCGCAUGCAUAAAUUGCCCGAGGUGAAGAGAGAUGAUGGGAGAUAAGAGUUUUGAUGCUUGAAUUUCUUCAGCCUGUCAUCAUCCUGACACACUGAAAAGUAAUUUUCUAAGGAUAUUAGAGAUGGGUCGUGGGAUUUACAUAUGUUAGUUGAAAUGCUGCUGGUUAUGUUCUUCAUGCUGCUUUGCUUCCAGUAAACUGAUAAUUAACCAAUUGCGACACAUUUUGCUGAUGAGAUUUCAUCGAUGACCAGACAUGCUGUUGGUUUACAAGUCAGAGGGGUUUCCAAUUGACGAGUCAACACAAACUCAUUCCAUAGAUGUAUCUGUUCUCCUCAUUCCUCAAAGAACAAUCUUAUUACUUGUCAGGAUGUUUCAGCUUCAAUCAUUCAAGCGAGACGUACAUUAUCCAGAAACAUUUGCUGCACAAGAAAUGAUAGACUUUUAGACUAAAGCCACCAACAACAAACUAUGGCAGCUGCUGGACUACUGGUUUUGGACCAAAUCCAAUGGUGGUGGCUCCUAACGAAAAACUUUCCAUUACCAAGUCAAUUGGAAAGGCGUAGGCCGCCUCCGAAUGAACCCACCCCUACUACGCAGGUCAGCAUCUAGAUGCAUUAUCACACCUCACGACUGAACU